UAAAUUCAGAAAGAGCAGGGUGUUUCUUCAGAGGUAAACUUGUCAAGGCAACAGUUUCAGUGUUAUCACAUCACUCCUGAGAACAAUGUCAGAUGCAAACCCAACUCAACCCACUCAGUGCGCUGAGGGCAUAGGGAAAGGCCAUGAGCAUGGACAUGGCCAUGGAAAAGACCAUAAUAAUGGUCACGGCCAUGGUCAUGGAGGAAACGAUGGCUCGUGCAAAGGAAACAAUGGCUCGCACGAUGGAAACAAUGGCUCGCACAAAGGAAACAAUGGCUCGCACAAAGGAAACGAUGGCUCGCACUAACAACAAUGCUGAAUAAAGAGAUAUCUGAAACUGAUGAUAUUUUUUCUUGUGCAAGCAUCAGUAAUAAAAUAAAACAUGUAUAACCAGCCAUAUAUCUUUGCAUCCAAUUAAGCAAUGACCAAUGAAAUGUUGGUAAUAAAGAAUAUCUUCUAGAA